rnacentral:lncRNA from 1 species
GACAAAACUAGGUCCAGGGUAUGACUGUGGCAGUGAGUAGGUCCAGAGAUAUGUUGGACAAAACCCACUGAGUCGAUGAUGGCUCCGAAAGCCUUUUGGAGUGGGUCUGUGGACUUUUCCAUGUGAAUAUUAAAGUCACCAAAAAUGUGAAUAUUAUCUGCGAUGACUACAAGGUCCUGUAGUAACUACUAAGUUCAGAGUGAGAAACAGCACAGUCAGAACUAUAGUAACUACUAAGCUGUUCAGAGUGAGAUGAACAGCACAGUCAGAACUAUAGUAACUACUAAGCUGUUCAGAGUGAGAUAAACAGCACAGUCAGAACUAUAGUAACGACUAAGCUGUUCAGAGUGAGAAACAGCACAGUCAGAACUAUAGUAACUACUAAGUUCUUCAGAGUGAGAAACAGCACAGUCAGAACUAUAGUAACUACUAAGUUGUUCAGAGUGAGAAACAGCACAGUCAGAACUAUAGUAAUUACUAAGUUGUUCAGAGUGAGAUAAACAGCACAGUCAGAACUAUAGUAACUACUAAGCUGUUCAGAGUGAGAAACAGCACAGUCAGAACUAUAGUAACUACUAAGUUGUUCAGAGUGAGAUAAACAGCACAGUCAGAACUAUAGUAACUACUAAGCUGUUCAGAGUGAGAAACAGCACAGUCAGAACUAUAGUAACUACUAAGUUGUUCAGAGUGAGAUAAACAGCACAGUCAGAACUAUAGUAACUACUAAGCUGUUCAGAGUGAGAAACCCACAGUCAGAACUAUAGUAACUACUAAGUUGUUCAGAGUGAGAAACAGCACAGUCAGAACUAUAGUAACUACUAAGCUGUUCAGAGUGAGAUAAACAGCACAGUCAGAACUAUAGUAACUACUAAGCUGUUCAGAGUGAGAAACAGCACAGUCAGAACUAUAGUAACUACUAAGCUGUUCAGAGUGAGAAACAGCACAGUCAGAACUAUAGUAACUACUAAGUUGUUCAGAGUGAGAAACAGCACAGUCAGAACUAUAGUAACUACUAAGUUGUUCAGAGUGAGAAACAGCACAGUCAGAACUAUAGUAACUACUAAGCUGUUCAGAGUGAGAAACAGCACAGUCAGAACUAUAGUAACUACUAAGUUGUUCAGAGUGAGAUAAACAGCAUAACAGCAAACAUGAGUUCUCUUUUAUUUUCCUUCUUCCUAAUCAUUGAACAAGUAAACUUUUAGUACAAUAGCUGUGUCUGUGUGCCCUUGUGUGUUAAUUUUAUUGCAGAUGUAUUGGAUGAGCUGUUUAAUCUCACUCAAUCCUACAGAGUUCUCCUGACCUCUGAGGACCUCCGCAUAGCUGCGCUGGUCCUGCUGUUGGGCCCUGUGGAGGGGGGGCAGGUCUGGGCCGGGGGGGGCUGCCUCUCUGAUCUGUUGGAGGUGGUGGUCUGGUGUGGGGUAGUAGGCUGGUCCCGGUCCAGUCUGGCUGUGCCGAUGGAGGUGGUGGUCUGGUGUGGGGUAGUAGGCUGGGCCCGGUCCAGUCUGGCUGCGCCGAUGGAGGUGGUGGUCUGGUGUGGGGUAGUAGGCUGGGCCCGGUCCAGUCUGGCUGCGCCGAUGGAGGUGGUGGUCUGGUGUGGGGUAGUAGGCUGGUCCCGGUCCAGUCUGGCUGUGCCGAUGGAGGUGGUGGUCUGGUGUGGGGUAGUAGGCUGGGCCUGGUCCAGUCUGGCUGCGCCGAUGGAGGUGGUGGUCUGGUGUGGGGUAGUAGGCUGGGCCUGGUCCAGUCUGGCUGCGCCGAUGGAGGUGGUGGUCUGGUGUGGGGUAGUAGGCUGGGCCUGGUCCAGUCUGGCUGCGCCGAUGGAGGUGGUGGUCUGGUGUGGGGUAGUAGGCUAGGCCUGGUCCAGUCUGGCUGCGCCGAUGGAGGUGGUGGUGCUCUGGUGGUGGGUGGGGCCUGUGGGGUUUUCUGGGUCUGGUAGGGGUCUCUGGGUGGUCCUCUGUCCAGUGCGGUGUUUGUCUUACCAAGUGCCACAUCCUUUAGAGUCUUUGCAAACAUCCCUACUGUCUGCUUCCUCAGGUGGGAGUGGUCAUGCAGAUGCUCUGGGGUGAUGAGCAACGUGCAUAUUCGUGAUGUCAGCGUUGACUUUCUGAAUGGUAUGGGGAUGAAAGUCUUUGCGGGCCAGCAGAGUGGUGAUGGUGAUGUGGGAGUUGGGGAACGACUCAGAGGCCCUCUCUGCUACUCUGUUGACCAGGCUGCCUACUCUCUCCUGCUCCACUCGCAGGUUGUUGGUGCCGGUGUGAAUGAUAAUGUGGCCUUGUGUGCCAAAGUCAGGUUGGGACAGGAUGUGGAGUGCAUCCUACGUUGUUGGGCACCAUAUUUUGGACACAUCUGUAGGGGCUGCAGAUUAUUUCAAGGAGUCCAUUCUGUCUGUUCUCUAUGCUGCAGUACCCUCUUGAUGACAGACAACUCCUCAUGGUGGCCUUUACCUCCUCAAGCGCUGUGGUAAGACUCUCUCGCUCUCAGCUCCUGGACAAGUUCUUUAGCUGGGUCCUGCACUGGUUGAUCUGGUCCUGUAGAAGCUCUGUGUCUGGGUUGGAGGUGGUGUAGCUGAGGGCUGCUCCUUCAGCUCAGUAACCCAUAGCUCUAACAGAGCCGGCCUGUCUCUCAGCAGGCUGAUGGUGGUGUAGCUGAGGGCUGCUCCUUCAGCUCAGUAACCCAUAGCUCUAACAGAGCCGGCCUGUCUCUCAGCAGGCUGAUGGUGGUGUAGCUGAGGGCUGCUCCUUCAGCUCAGUAACCCAUAGCUCUAAUAGAGCCAGCCUGUCUCUCAGCAGGCUGAUGGUGGUGUAGCUGAGGGCUGCUCCUUCAGCUCAGUAACCCAUAGCUCUAACAGAGCCAGCCUGUCUCUCAGCAGGCUGAUGGUGGUGUAGCUGAGGGCUGCUCCUUCAGCUCAGUAACCCAUAGCUCUAACAGAGCCAGCCUGUCUCUUAGCAGGCUGACGGUGGUGUAGCUGAGGGCUGCUCCUUCAGCUCAGUAACCCAUAGCUCUAACAGAGCCGGCCUGUCUCUCAGCAGGCUGACGGUGGUGUAGCUGAGGGCUGCUCCUUCAGCUCAGUAACCCAUAGCUCUAACAGAGCCAGCCUGUCUCUCAGCAGGCUGAUGGUGGUGUAGCUGAGGGCUGCUCCUUCAGCUCAGUAACCCAUAGCUCUAACAGAAC